GGUACAAAAUGAGAAGGAUAAAGUGAAUGCUGGGACAUUUGAACCCUUUGACUGGGACUGAUUCAAGAGGAUAUCAUCUUCCAUAUACUGGUAGAAGCAGUGGCCGGGAGCACAUCAAUUUUCCAUUUCCAAGGGCUCGAAGUAGUCAAACAGUCAUGACCACAAUAAACAAUGCCCGGGAUCCAAGAAGAGCUUUUAGAAGAUGACUGAAGCCAAAGAGACUCAUGUAGUUUUUAAACUACAUGCCCUACAUGAACACUUAAUGCACUUUUAUUUAUUGUUAGCUGUGAAAAGCUUGUCUCUUACAGGUUUCCUGUUACAUUUUGGGUUUGUUAAAAAGAAUGACUGAUUUUUACUGCACAGUGUUGAGCUGUUUAGUUCCAUCCUGUUGCAGAAUAGGAACUCUGAAAGUGGGAACAUUUAUUUUUUAGAGCAAGACCUUACUGAUUAUCACCUGAAAACCUGUCCCUGUUUCAAGGGUGAGCUACUUAUGACACUAAUGUUUGCCAUAACAUUUCAUGGGAAAUGUUCUUUUGUUUUAACUGGGAUGUGGCCGGCGGAAGUGAUAGCAGCCCCAAGCAGAAGCCUGGCCGGUGCUGACAGUGCUUUCAGUGCUUAUGGACCAGGGACGACUGACUUAUAGAGUGACUGGCCUGCCAUUGAGAGUGUCCACGGACAGAAGCACAGCCUACAUUCUUGUUUAGUUGCCAGACAACCUGACUCUUAUCAGAAUUGUGCAAUACAAUGUGUAAUAUUACAAGUAGUUUUAGAAGAAAAUUGUAAGAUAAUGCUGUUUAUAUUUGUUAUAUACAAACAUUAAACUUAUUCUUAAGAAAAA